rnacentral:rRNA from 1 species
AACGCGAAGAACCUUACCAAGGCUUGACAUAUACAGGAAAAGCGUAGAGAUACGCUCCCCGCAAGGUCUGUAUACAGGUGGUGCAUGGUUGUCGUCAGCUCGUGUCGUGAGAUGUUGGGUUAAGUCCCGCAACGAGCGCAACCCUCGUCCUAUGUUGCCAGCACGUAAUGGUGGGAACUCAUGGGAUACUGCCGGGGUCAACUCGGAGGAAGGUGGGGAUGACGUCAAAUCAUCAUGCCCCUUAUGUCUUGGGCUUCACGCAUGCUACAAUGGCCGGUACAGAGGGCUGCAAUACCGUAAGGUGGAGCGAAUCCCAAAAAGCCGGUCUCAGUUCGGAUUGAGGUCUGCAACUCGACCUCAUGAAGUCGGAGUCGCUAGUAAUCGUAGAUCAGCAACGCUACGGUGAAUACGUUCCCGGGUC